rnacentral:rRNA from 1 species
CCUACGGGAGGCAGCAGUGAGGAAUAUUGGUCAAUGGCCGCAGGGCUGAACCAGCCAAGUCGCGUGAGGGAUGACGGUCCUAUGGAUUGUAAACCUCUUUUGUCAGGGAGCAAAGGGCGCCACGUGUGGCGCUUUGCGAGUACCUGAAGAAAAAGCAUCGGCUAACUCCGUGCCAGCAGCCGCGGUAAUACGGAGGAUGCGAGCGUUAUCCGGAUUUAUUGGGUUUAAAGGGUGCGCAGGCGGAAUGUCAAGUCAGCGGUAAAAUUUCGGGGCUCAACCCCGUCGUGCCGUUGAAACUGGCGUUCUUGAGUGAGCGAGAAGUAUGCGGAAUGCGUGGUGUAGCGGUGAAAUGCAUAGAUAUCACGCAGAACUCCGAUUGCGAAGGCAGCAUACCGGCGCUCAACUGACGCUCAUGCACGAAAGCGUGGGUAUCGAACAGGAUUAGAUACCCGGGUUC